rnacentral:lncRNA from 1 species
CUUUCUGGCAUCCAGGCCCCAAAACGCAUCAUUUCUCUCUGUUUCCCCAGUGUUUGGUGUUGAACCUGACUUGACCAGAGAAGGUGGCAGUAUUCCUGUGACCUUGACCUUUCAGGAGGCCACAGGCAAAAAUGUCAUGCUGUUGCCGGUGGGGUCAGCAGAUGACGGUGCCCACUCGCAGAAUGAAAAGCUCAACAGGUGAGGCGGGUGUCCUGAGGUUGGGUUGCAUGUGGCACGAGGUGGUUCUGGGAUCACUCCUCUUUCGUCCCAUGGGGGUUUGCUAGUGAGAACCGGUGAGAGGCAGGCAUAAGGCCUUGGUAGGAACAGUUAGGAAACGGGGUUCUUCUAGUAUUCUUUGUUCACCACACUCUUCCUAUAGCAUCCACAAAAGCUACCGCUCCUGUUUUAAAUGUUACACUAUCGGCU